rnacentral:lncRNA from 1 species
UUCCCUCUUACUUUCAUUUGAAGGCUGGACCUGGGAGUGAGGCAGGAAGCUGCCUUUCUGGGUCGCAGGCUGUGGCCCUCUGGGAGAGCAGGUGGAGGCGUACCUUCUUUCCCAGCUGCCAUUCUGUUCCAUGGAUGAUGCUGGCAAGUCCCAAACCCUCUCCAGCUAUCAAGAUGAACACCUUGCAGAAGAAAGAAGUCUGCCGCAGAGAAAGACGACUGGACGGGGCAGCUGGGAAGGGUUCUUACCACCAAGCCUGAGGCCCAAGUUUGAUCCCUAAAGCUCACACAGCAAAAGGAGUGGAACGGCUCCUGAAAGCUACCCUCUGACCUCUAUCUUAUGUCUCCUUCACAAAGAAACAAAUCAAGAUAAAUAAA